rnacentral:rRNA from 1 species
GAUGAACGCUGGCGGCGUGCCUAAUACAUGCAAGUCGAGCGAACAGACGAGGAGCUUGCUCCUCUGACGUUAGCGGCGGACGGGUGAGUAACACGUGGAUAACCUACCUAUAAGACUGGGAUAACUUCGGGAAACCGGAGCUAAUACCGGAUAAUAUAUUGAACCGCAUGGUUCAAUAGUGAAAGACGGUUUUGCUGUCACUUAUAGAUGGAUCCGCGCCGCAUUAGCUAGUUGGUAAGGUAACGGCUUACCAAGGCGACGAUGCGUAGCCGACCUGAGAGGGUGAUCCGCCACACGGGAACUGAGACACGGUCCAGACUCCUACGGGAGGCAGCGGUAGGGAAUCUUCCGCAAGGGGCGAAAGCCUGACGGAGCAACGCCGCGUGAGUGAUGAAGGUCUUCGGCUCGUAAAACUCUGUUAUUAGGGAAGAACAAAUGUGUAAGUAACUAUGCACGUCUUGACGGUACCUAAUCAGAAAGCCACGGCUAACUACGUG